AGAGUUUGAUCAUGGCUCAGAUUGAACGCUGGCGGCAUGCUUUACACAUGCAAGUCGAACGGUAACGCGGGGGCAACCCUGGCGACGAGUGGCGAACGGGUGAGUAAUACAUCGGAACAUGUCCUGGAGUGGGGGAUAGCUCGGCGAAAGCCGGAUUAAUACCGCAUACGCCCGAGAGGGGAAAGUGGGGGACCGCAAGGCCUCACGCGAUUGGGUUGGUCGAUGUCCGAUUAGCUAGUUGGCGGGGUAAAGGCCCACCAAGGCGAUGAUCGGUAGCUGGUCUGAGAGGAUGAUCAGCCACACUGGGACUGAGACACGGCCCAGACUCCUACGGGAGGCAGCAGUGGGGAAUUUUGGACAAUGGGGGAAACCCUGAUCCAGCCAUUCCGCGUGAGUGAAGAAGGCCUUCGGGUUGUAAAGCUCUUUUGUCCGGAACGAAAAGGCUACGUUUAAUACGCGUGGCUCAUGACGGUACCGGAAGAAUAAGCACCGGCUAACUACGUGCCAGCAGCCGCGGUAAUACGUAGGGUGCGAGCGUUAAUCGGAAUUACUGGGCGUAAAGCGUGCGCAGGCGGUUUUGUAAGCCAGAUGUGAAAUCCCCGGGCUCAACCUGGGAAUGGCAUUUGGGACUGCAAGGCUGGAGUUUGGCAGAGGAGACUGGAAUUCCUGGUAGCAGUGAAAUGCGUAGAUAUCAGGAGGAAUACCGAUGGCGAAGGCAGGUCUCUGGGCUAUAACUGACGCUCAUGCACGAAAGCGUGGGGAGCAAACAGGAUUAGAUACCCUAGUAGUCC
rnacentral:rRNA from 1 species